rnacentral:rRNA from 1 species
GUCUUAACCGGGCGUUAAGUUGCAGGGUAUAGACCCGAAACCCGGUGAUCUAGCCAUGGGCAGGUUGAAGGUUGGGUAACACUAACUGGAGGACCGAACCGACUAAUGUUGAAAAAUUAGCGGAUGACCUGUGGCUGGGGGUGAAAGGCCAAUCAAACCGGGAGAUAGCUGGUUCUCCCCGAAAGCUAUUUAGGUAGCGCCUCGUGAACUCAUCUCCGGGGGUAGAGCACUGUUUCGGCUAGGGGGCCAUCCCGGCUUACCAACCCGAUGCAAACUGCGAAUACCGGAGAAUGUUAUCACGGGAGACACACGGCGGGUGCUAACGUCCGUCGUGAAGAGGGAAACAACCCAGACCGCCAGCUAAGGUCCCAAAGUCAUGGUUAAGUGGGAAACGAUGUGGGAAGGCCCAGACAGCCAGGAUGUUGGCUUAGAAGCAGCCAUCAUUUAAAGAAAGCGUAAUAGCUCACUGGUCGAGUCGGCCUGCGCGGAAGAUGUAACGGGGCUAAACCAUGCACCGAAGCUGCGGCAGCGACACUCAGGUGUUGUUGGGUAGGGGAGCGUUCUGUAAGCCUGUGAAGGUGUGUCGUGAGGCAUGCUGGAGGUAUCAGAAGUGCGAAUGCUGACAUAAGUAACGAUAAAGCGGGUGAAAAGCCCGCUCGCCGGAAGACCAAGGGUUCCUGUCCAACGUUAAUCGGGGCAGGGUGAGUCGACCCCUAAGGCGAGGCCGAAAGGCGUAGUCGAUGGGAAACGGGUUAAUAUUCCCGUACUUGGUGUUACUGCGAAGGGGGGACGGAGAAGGCUAUGUUGGCCGGGCGACGGUUGUCCCGGUUUAAGCGUGUAGGUGUGUGUUCCAGGUAAAUCCGGUCCACUUUAACACUGAGGCGUGAUGACGAGGCACUACGGUGCUGAAGCAACAAAUGCCCUGCUUCCAGGAAAAGCCUCUAAGCAUCAGGUAACAUCAAAUCGUACCCCAAACCGACACAGGUGGUCAGGUAGAGAAUACCAAGGCGCUUGAGAGAACUCGGGUGAAGGAACUAGGCAAAAUGGUGCCGUAACUUCGGGAGAAGGCACGCUGACACGUAGGUGAAGUGAUUUACUCACGGAGCUGAAGUCAGUCGAAGAUACCAGCUGGCUGCAACUGUUUAUUAAAAACACAGCACUGUGCAAACACGAAAGUGGACGUAUACGGUGUGACGCCUGCCCGGUGCCGGAAGGUUAAUUGAUGGGGUCAGCGCAAGCGAAGCUCCUGAUCGAAGCCCCGGUAAACGGCGGCCGUAACUAUAACGGUCCUAAGGUAGCGAAAUUCCUUGUCGGGUAAGUUCCGACCUGCACGAAUGGCGUAAUGAUGGCCAGGCUGUCUCCACCCGAGACUCAGUGAAAUUGAACUCGCUGUGAAGAUGCAGUGUACCCGCGGCAAGACGGAAAGACCCCGUGAACCUUUACUAUAGCUUGACACUGAACAUUGAGCCUUGAUGUGUAGGAUAGGUGGGAGGCUUUGAAGCGUGGACGCCAGUCUGCGUGGAGCCGACCUUGAAAUACCACCCUUUAAUGUUUGAUGUUCUAACGUGGACCCGUAA